UCUUAUGGAUGAGCAAAGAAAGUGGCUUCUUGAAAUAAAAACCACUCCUGGUGAAGAUUCUAUGAA
rnacentral:pre_miRNA from 1 species